rnacentral:rRNA from 1 species
GGGUUGUGAGGUUAAGCGACUAAGCGUACACGGUGGAUGCCCUGGCAGUCAGAGGCGAUGAAGGGCGUGCUAAUCUGCGAUAAGCGCCGGUAAGGUGAUAUGAACCGUUAUAACCGGCGAUACCCGAAUGGGGAAACCCAGUGUGAUUCGUCACACUAUCAUUAACUGAAUCCAUAGGUUAAUGAGGCGAACCGGGGGAACUGAAACAUCUAAGUACCCCGAGGAAAAGAAAUCAACCGAGAUUCCCCCAGUAGCGGCGAGCGAACGGGGAGGAGCCCAGAGCCUGAAUCAGCAUGUGUGUUAGUGGAAGCGUCUGGAAAGGCGCGCGAUACAGGGUGACAGCCCCGUACACAAAAGCGCAUGUGCUGUGAGCUCGAUGAGUAGGGCGGGACACGUGGUAUCCUGUCUGAAUAUGGGGGGACCAUCCUCCAAGGCUAAAUACUCCUGACUGACCGAUAGUGAACCAGUACCGUGAGGGAAAGGCGAAAAGAACCCCGGCGAGGGGAGUGAAAAAGAACCUGAAACCGUGUACGUACAAGCAGUGGGAGCACCCUUUGGGGUGUGACUGCGUACCUUUUGUAUAAUGGGUCAGCGACUUAUAUUCUGUAGCAAGGUUAACCGUAUAGGGGAGCCGUAGGGAAACCGAGUCUUAACCGGGCGUUAAGUUGCAGGGUAUAGACCCGAAACCCGGUGAUCUAGCCAUGGGCAGGUUGAAGGUUGGGUAACACUAACUGGAGGACCGAACCGACUAAUGUUGAAAAAUUAGCGGAUGACCUGUGGCUGGGGGUGAAAGGCCAAUCAAACCGGGAGAUAGCUGGUUCUCCCCGAAAGCUAUUUAGGUAGCGCCUCGUGAAUUCAUCUCCGGGGGUAGAGCACUGUUUCGGCUAGGGGGCCAUCCCGGCUUACCAACCCGAUGCAAACUGCGAAUACCGGAGAAUGUUAUCACGGGAGACACACGGCGGGUGCUAACGUCCGUCGUGAAGAGGGAAACAACCCAGACCGCCAGCUAAGGUCCCAAAGUCAUGGUUAAGUGGGAAACGAUGUGGGAAGGCCCAGACAGCCAGGAUGUUGGCUUAGAAGCAGCCAUCAUUUAAAGAAAGCGUAAUAGCUCACUGGUCGAGUCGGCCUGCGCGGAAGAUGUAACGGGGCUAAACCAUGCACCGAAGCUGCGGCAGCGACGCUGAUGCGUUGUUGGGUAGGGGAGCGUUCUGUAAGCCUGUGAAGGUGGCCUGUGAGGGUUGCUGGAGGUAUCAGAAGUGCGAAUGCUGACAUAAGUAACGAUAAAGCGGGUGAAAAGCCCGCUCGCCGGAAGACCAAGGGUUCCUGUCCAACGUUAAUCGGGGCAGGGUGAGUCGACCCCUAAGGCGAGGCCGAAAGGCGUAGUCGAUGGGAAACGGGUUAAUAUUCCCGUACUUGGUGUUACUGCGAAGGGGGGACGGAGAAGGCUAUGUUGGCCGGGCGACGGUUGUCCCGGUUUAAGCGUGUAGGUGUGUGUUCCAGGUAAAUCCGGUUCACUUUAACACUGAGGCGUGACGACGAGGCACUACGGUGCUGAAGCAACAAAUGCCCUGCUUCCAGGAAAAGCCUCUAAGCAUCAGGUAACAUCAAAUCGUACCCCAAACCGACACAGGUGGUCAGGUAGAGAAUACCAAGGCGCUUGAGAGAACUCGGGUGAAGGAACUAGGCAAAAUGGUGCCGUAACUUCGGGAGAAGGCACGCUGACACGUAGGUGAAGUGAUUUACUCAUGGAGCUGAAGUCAGUCGAAGAUACCAGCUGGCUGCAACUGUUUAUUAAAAACACAGCACUGUGCAAACACGAAAGUGGACGUAUACGGUGUGACGCCUGCCCGGUGCCGGAAGGUUAAUUGAUGGGGUCAGCGCAAGCGAAGCUCCUGAUCGAAGCCCCGGUAAACGGCGGCCGUAACUAUAACGGUCCUAAGGUAGCGAAAUUCCUUGUCGGGUAAGUUCCGACCUGCACGAAUGGCGUAAUGAUGGCCAGGCUGUCUCCACCCGAGACUCAGUGAAAUUGAACUCGCUGUGAAGAUGCAGUGUACCCGCGGCAAGACGGAAAGACCCCGUGAACCUUUACUAUAGCUUGACACUGAACAUUGAGCCUUGAUGUGUAGGAUAGGUGGGAGGCUUUGAAGUGUGGACGCCAGUCUGCAUGGAGCCGACCUUGAAAUACCACCCUUUAAUGUUUGAUGUUCUAACGUGGACCCGUUACCCGGGUUGCGGACAGUGUCUGGUGGGUAGUUUGACUGGGGCGGUCUCCUCCUAAAGAGUAACGGAGGAGCACGAAGGUUGGCUAAUCCUGGUCGGACAUCAGGAGGUUAGUGCAAUGGCAUAAGCCAGCUUGACUGCGAGCGUGACGGCGCGAGCAGGUGCGAAAGCAGGUCAUAGUGAUCCGGUGGUUCUGAAUGGAAGGGCCAUCGCUCAACGGAUAAAAGGUACUCCGGGGAUAACAGGCUGAUACCGCCCAAGAGUUCAUAUCGACGGCGGUGUUUGGCACCUCGAUGUCGGCUCAUCACAUCCUGGGGCUGAAGUAGGUCCCAAGGGUAUGGCUGUUCGCCAUUUAAAGUGGUACGCGAGCUGGGUUUAGAACGUCGUGAGACAGUUCGGUCCCUAUCUGCCGUGGGCGCUGGAGAACUGAGGGGGGCUGCUCCUAGUACGAGAGGACCGGAGUGGACGCAUCACUGGUGUUCGGGUUGUCAUGCCAAUGGC